AACGAACGCUGGCGGCAUGCCUAACACAUGCAAGUCGAACGAUUGCCUUCGGGUGAUAGGGGCGCACGGGUGCGUAACGCGUGGGAAUCUGCCCUUAGGUUCGGAAUAACAUCUGGAAACGGCUGCUAAUACCGGAUGAUAUCGCGAGAUCAAAGAUUUAUCGCCUGAGGAUGAGCCCGCGUUGGAUUAGGUAGUUGGUGGGGUAAAGGCCUACCAAGCCGACGAUACAGAGCUGGUCUGAGAGGAUGAUCAGCCACACUGGGACUGAGACACGGCCCAGACUCCUACGGGAGGCAGCAGUGGGGAAUAUUGGCCAAUGGGCGCAAGCCUGAUCCAGCAAUGCCGCGUGAGUGAUGAAGGCCCUAGGGUUGUAAAGCUCUUUUACCCGGGAAGAUAAUGACUGUACCGGGAGAAUAAGCCCCGGCUAACUCCGCG
rnacentral:rRNA from 1 species